rnacentral:tRNA from 1 species
GCCGGCUUAGCUCAUAAGGUAGAGCGCUUGACUUGUAAUCAUGAGGUGGCGGGUUCGAGUCCUGCAGCCGGCACCA